AGCAGCCGCGGUAAUUCCAGCUCCAAUAGCGUAUAUUAAAGUUGUUGCAGUUAAAAAGCUCGUAGUUGAAUUUCGGAAUCAAUAUAUCGGUCGUGCCUCUGGUACGCACUUAUUUAUUGAUUUCUCACUUCUGACGAAUCAUAAUGUCAUUAGUUUGGUGUUAUGAGGAAUCAGGACUGUUACUUUGAAAAAAUUAGAGUGUUUAAAGCAGGCUCGCGCUCGAAUACAUUAGCAUGGAAUAAUGAAAUAGGAUGUUUGAUCUUAUUUUGUUGGUUUCUAGGAUCGACAUAAUGAUUAAUAGGGAUAGUUGGGGGCAUUAGUAUUCAAUUGUCAGAGGUGAAAUUCUUGGAUUUAUUGAAGACUAACUACUGCGAAAGCAUUUGCCAAGGAUGUUUUCAUUAAUCAAGAACGAAAGUUAGGGGAUCGAAGACGAUCAGAUACCGUCGUAGU
rnacentral:rRNA from 1 species